rnacentral:rRNA from 1 species
UACGUAGGGUGCAGGCGUUAAUCGGAAUUACUGGGCGUAAAGUGUGCGCAGGCGGCCGAGCAAGUCGAGUGUGAAAGCCCCGGGCUUAACUUGGGAAUUGCGCUCGAAACUACUUGGCUGGAGUGUGGCAGAGGAAGGUGGAAUUCCACGUGUAGCGGUGAAAUGCGUAGAGAUGUGGAGGAACACCGAUGGCGAAGGCAGCCUUCUGGGCCAACACUGACGCUCAUGCACGAAAGCGUGGGGAGCAAACAGG